CUCCCCAAAACCCCCGACCAUAUUGCAUAGAACAAAACGUUCCAUCCAUAAUACCAAAAAUUGCCUUUCCCUCUUUCAGAUCUGAAUCGCUGCAUUUGCUCGACACGUCCUGUUAGCUGAUUGUUCCACCUCCGUCCCCAAAUCCCUAAUUUCACUAUCAACUCCCUUUUCUCUGCUUCUAUUCCUUCUCAUAUUACUGAGUUCUCACCUUCUUCUCGCGGGUUUUUUUUUUUGUUCUGUUUCAUUCUUCGAUUCAAUGGUUGCUGCAUCGUGGAAUGUGGGUUUCCUCAGAAGAUCUAGGGUUUAUAUCACCGGAUAGCUACGCCCUAUAUGCGAUUUUCAGAUCAGAGGACGAACGUUUGGGAUGGAGAUUGUACUAAAAGAGAAGGAUGCUGCGGAUUGGGUUUAUAGAGGCGAAGGAGCCGCUAAUCUUGUUCUUGCAUAUACUGGCUCCUCUCCACCUUUUAUUGGAAAAGUUAUGCGUAUACAAAAGGCUUCUAUCAAUGGAUCACAGCAUGCGAGGACUCCGACCGCAUUUUCCAAAUACGAAUACUUGUUGUGGGGUGACAUAGGGAACCUUGUCUCAUCCGCUGAUAGGGAGACUGCUGCCCAAACCUUUGUGCAGCGUGUAAUGAGCCCUUUAUUGGGUUCCAAACACGUUGAUUCUGGUAAACUUGUUUUAGUAACCAGAGAAUUUCUAGAGUUGGCAGAGAAGAAUGUAAAUAGUGAACGCCCAUCUUGGAGAGUAGAUGCUGGAAAGAUUGAUACCCAUCGUGAUUAUGUUCUUAUUAUAUCUGAUCAUUCCAUUUUCCCUCACGGUGCUUUAGAAGGUGAGCCUUGCAUAUCUGUCGAGAUAAAGCCAAAAUGUGGGUUUCUCCCAUUCUCAAGGUUCAUAACCCAUGGCAACGCGGUUAAGAGAUGUAUGACUCGUUUCAGAAUGCACCAAGCCCUUAAGUUGCAUCAAGAAGAGAUAUCAGAGUUCAGUGAUUAUGAUCCACUUGAUCUCUUCUCUGGAUCCAAGGAUCGUAUACUUAAAGCAAUUAAGGAUCUUUUUUCCACACCUCAAAACAACUUUCGAGUGUUCUAUAAUGGCUCUCUUAUAUUUGGGGCAUUGGGUGGUUCUGCAGAGAAUACUGACGUGAUUGUUGGAGAAGCAUUUGAAGAUGCACUGAAGUCUGUCAUCCUGGCAGAUGAUGGGCUAUGCACUACUAGCUUGCUACAGCUUGUCACUGAAACUUUAUAUAAAUCUGGAGUUCUGGAUCGACUUCUUGAAGUCCAGAAGCUUGACAGUUUGGACAUAGAAGGUGCUAUUCAUGCAUAUUAUGAUGUAAUUUCAGAGCCUUGUGUGGUUUGUGGACAGUUGAAUGAAGAUGAAGAAUUGCAUAGAUAUGCCUCUUUGCAUUCCCUUCCUCUUGAUCAAAGCUUAAAGAUUGUCAAAAACUUUUUGAUAGCUGCUACUGCCAAAGACUGUAGCUUGAUGAUUAGUUUUAGGCCAAGAGAAGGGAAAGAAUGGGGUUCUUCGAAUAACACAAUACGUCUUGAAUCAACAGGGCAAUUUUUUGAUUAUAAGAUACUGGAGAUACGGGGUUUGUGUUGCCCAUGUCUAUAUCUGGACCUUCAGAUAAAGGAUUUGGGGCAUGCUUAAGUGGUGUGUAUCAUGGUCCAAUACAAUGGCUGCUCUUGGCUGCACCCAUCCCUAAAAAAUGAGCGAUUGAAAAGGUAUGAAAAAGAAGGGAAAUCAACCAAGAAACUAGAAGCUUUUUAAAAAGAGAUGUAACUGGCAUAGUAGCGGGCAAACUGCAGGCUGCAGUGCGAUGCCUCAGCGCGUCAAGAUGAUCAGAGCCCUGAUUUGAUGAAGGGCUAAACUGUAGGGGAGCCAUGUGUAGAGUAUAAUGUUACGUUCUGAAGGGGAGUUGGGCACUCAAGGAAAGGACAAGAAGACAAAAGACAACAAGGGACAUAGUAGGGGGAAAACAAAAUCGAGGGAUUGAGGACGAUAUCAUGCUUCUGAUAUUACCUCAUUUUCCCUUCCAUUCUUACCUUCAUGUUUAUAUGGAUUUCAUCAAUUUAUUUGAUAAUUGAAGUGAAAUUUGACUUCUAGGAUCC